CCUGGCGGAGAUAGCGCGGUGGUCCCACCUGACCCCAUGCCGAACUCAGAAGUGAAACGCCGUAGCGCCGAUGGUAGUGUGGGG
rnacentral:rRNA from 4 species